GACGAACCGUGCGAACGUUGUUCGGAAUCACUGGGCUUAAAGGGCGCGUAGGCGGGCUGCCAAGUCUGGGGUGAAAUCCCACGGCUCAACCGUGGAACUGCCUCAGAUACUGGCGGCCUCGAGGAGGGUAGGGGCAUGCGGAACUAUGCGUGGAGCGGUGAAAUGCGUUGAUAUGCAUAGGAACUCCGGUGGCGAAGGCGGCGUGCUGGACCCUUUCUGACGCUGAGGCGCGAAAGCCAGGGGAGCGAACGGG
rnacentral:rRNA from 1 species